rnacentral:rRNA from 1 species
UACGUAGGGGGCAAGCGUUGUCCGGAUUUAUUGGGCGUAAAGAGCGUGUAGGCGGUUUUACAGGUCCGCUGUGAAAACUCGAGGCUCAACCUCGAGCUGUCGGUGGAAACCGUCUGGCUAGAGUCCGGAAGAGGAGAGUGGAAUUCCCGGUGUAGCGGUGAAAUGCGCAGAUAUCGGGAAGAACACCCGUGGCGAAGGCGGCUCUCUGGGACGGUACUGACGCUGAGACGGCGAAAGCGUGGGGAGCGAACAGG